rnacentral:rRNA from 1 species
AAUAGUCAAAUGACUGAACCAGCAACUUGGAAGAACGAAAAAUGAUUAAGUCAUAUAAAGUUCUAGAUAAAAUAAAGAGUAUGACAAUUUUUUAUCUAUAAGUCUUGACCAAAUUACGUGCCAGCAGUCGCGGUAAUACGUAGAAGACUAGUGUUAUUCAUCUUUAAUCGGUAUAAAGGGUACCUAGACAGAAUACCAAGCCAUAAUAGGAACUAGUAUUCUAGAGUUUUAUGUGAGAAUAUACGAAUUACCAGAGUAGAGUCCAAAUUCUGUUAUACUGGUAGGACGGGUAACGGCAAAGGCGAUAUUCUAAGUAAAAACUGACGUUGAGGGACGAAGCCUUGGGCAGCGAUAAGGAUUAGAUACCCUAGUAGUCCUUGGAGACAAUUAUGAGUGCCAUAGGCUAGAAUAGUUUAGCCUAUAAAUGAAAGUGUAAGCACUCCACCUCAUGACUAAGGCGGAAAUGCACAAAUUGAAAUCAUUAGACCGUUUCUGAAACCAGUAGUGAAGUAUGUUAUUUAAUUCGAUGAUCCGCGAAUAACCUUACCACGCUUUGAAUAUUAUUAAGAAUAUUACAAGUGCUGCACGGCUGUCUUCAGUUAAUGUCGUGAGAUUUUGGUUAAUUCCUUUAAUUAACGAAAACCCUUGCUUUAUUUGUUAUUAAAGUAUUUUUCUACAAAGGGAAAAAGUAAUAGGGACCAAGACAAGUCAUCAUGGCCUUAAUAGCG